UACGGAGGGGGCUAGCGUUGUUCGGAAUUACUGGGCGUAAAGCGCACGUAGGCGGCUUUGUAAGUUAGAGGUGAAAGCCCAGGGCUUAACCCUGGAAUUGCCUUUAAGACUGCAUCGCUAGAAUCGUGGAGAGGUGAGUGGAAUUCCGAGUGUAGAGGUGAAAUUCGUAGAUAUUCGGAAGAACACCAGUGGCGCAGGCGGCUCUCUGGGUCGGCCCUGACGCUGAGGCGCGAAAGCGUGGGGAGCGAACGGG
rnacentral:rRNA from 1 species